UGGGGAAUAUUGCACAAUGGGCGCAAGCCUGAUGCAGCCAUGCCGCGUGUGUGAAGAAGGCCUUCGGGUUGUAAAGCACUUUCAGCGGGGAGGAAGGCGGUGAGGUUAAUAACCUCAUCGAUUGACGUUACCCGCAGAAGAAGCACCGGCUAACUCCGUGCCAGCAGCCGCGGUAAUACGGAGGGUGCAAGCGUCAAUCGGAAUUACUGGGCGUAAAGCGCACGCAGGCGGUCUGUCAAGUCGGAUGUGAAAUCCCCGGGCUCAACCUGGGAACUGCAUUCGAAACUGGCAGGCUAGAGUCUUGUAGAGGGGGGUAGAAUUCCAGGUGUAGCGGUGAAAUGCGUAGAGAUCUGGAGGAAUACCGGUGGCGAAGGCGGCCCCCUGGACAAAGACUGACGCUCAGGUGCGAAAGCGUGGGGAGCAAACAGG
rnacentral:rRNA from 1 species